GUGGGGAAUAUUGGGCAAUGGGCGAAAGCCUGACCCAGCAACGCCGCGUGAAGGAAGAAGGUCUUCGGAUCGUAAACUUCUAUCCUUGGUGAAGAUAAUGACGGUAGCCGAGAAGGAAGCCCCGGCUAACUACGUGCUAGCAGCCGCGGUAAUACGUAGGGGGCAAGCGUUGUCCGGAAUGACUGGGCGUAAAGGGCGCGUAGACGGCUGUCUAAGUCUGGAGUGAAAGUCCUGCUUUCAAGGUGGGAAUUGCUUUGGAGACUGGAUGGCUUGAGUGCGGAAGAGGUAAGUGGAAUUCCCAGUGUAGCGGUGAAAUGCGUAGAUAUUAGAAAGAACACCAACGGCGUAGGCAGGUAACUGGCAUACAUCUGACGCUGAGGCACGAAAGCGUGGGGAGCGAACCGGAUUAGAAACCCGUGUAGUCC
rnacentral:rRNA from 1 species